rnacentral:lncRNA from 1 species
UACUAUGCUUUAUGCUCUGAAGAACUGAAGUGUGUGGUGAUUUUUAUAUAAUCAUUCAUAUGGAACUUAGUUCCUAGAACCAUCAUAUUCUGAAUAGUAUUCGGUAAUUAAGAAUUAUGAUUUUAACCUUCAUGUAGCUAAGUCUACCUUAAAAAGGGUUUCAAGAGCUUUGAUGAAAUACAGUCCUCUGGUGAUCCACACCAGAAAGCUGAAGAGAAUAUUAACUGCACUAGGAUUUCUUUAAGGAGUAAUGUUGAUCAAAGAAUGGGUUACUUCCCCUUGAAGGAAAAGCUUUGUGUGUAUUGUAUGUAAAGUUGGCUUCUCUAAAGGAACUGUUCCUUUCCUUUGUUUCUUCACAUCUGGGUAGGUGUGAAUAACUUUCUUACUUAAUCAAGGGUAUUCAAAUUGAAGCCUGCAGAUUCAUCUGCUUUUAAAGUAAAGAGCAGUGUCCUCCAUUUGUAUUUGCAUUAGACAUAGAGUGACUAUUUUUAAAGCAUGUUAAAAAUGUAGGUUUUAUUCAUGUUUAAAGUGGGUAUUAUGUAUGCAUAAUUUCGCUUUUGUUACUGAAACUUAAUUCUAUCAAGAAUCUUUUCAUUGCACUGAAUACUUUCUUUUGCCCCUAGCAGAAAACUAAAUAAUUGUGCCUAAAAACUAUGGGCAGAUAGUAUAAGACUAUACAAUAUAAGGUGAAUAUUUGCAUUUCCAUUAUCUAUGAAUUAGAAGCUAAGUUCUUUCUUAGCCAGUUUAAGGAGCCCCUCAUUCUCCAGAGUCAAAAGGAAAUGUAAAGACAGAGUUCCCAUUGUAAUGUAAGGGGCAAAAAAAAAAAAAUGUUCUGAAUGCAACUAGCAGCACCAGCCUUGUUUUAGAUGUUUUCUUGAGCUAGAAGAAAUAGCUGAUUUGUCAUAUAUGCAAAUUAUAUGCAUUUUUAAAACUAUUCUUUGUGAACUUAUCUACCUGGUUAUGAUACUCUGGGUCCAUAUACAAGUGAAAUUUAGACAGAAGCCAGUAUACAUUUUGCACUAUUGAUGUGAUACUGUAGCCAGCCAGGACCUUACUGAUCUCAGCAUAAUAAUGCUAUUAAUAAUAAUACUGUAUAGUGACAUUCAUCAAGAUUGUAGAUGAAACAGUUGACAUGCUCCAUUUGAAGGAAUUUCUGAUCAUUUCCAUGGUAUUUUAUCACUUCCAUUUUUUUAAAAUAAGAAAUGAACAUCUUCCUGCAUGAAGUUGCUACCUGUGUAAAGUUCUUUUCUAUGCCCUGAAGCCUCACUGUCCAGAGCUACUGGUCCUCAGAUGCUCACUGUACCCUGCAAGGUGUCCAGUGCUCUGCUAGGUGGAAAACACAACAGGACACACUUCCUGUUACUUAUGGUCAAUUCAGUAACAGUAAGCUCUCUUGGGAUGUUUUUGUCAUGUAAUUGACUUGAAAAUGAACUGUCUUAUAAUAUGAAGGCUCUUUGGUUUACUCUAAACUCACUUGGAUAGGUAUUAUUCCAAAUUCCAUAGUAAAUGGUGUUAGGGAAGGAUUUCUUGGUCCAGCUUGGGAAAAAGCCAGUGAUUUAAUAUCAGAAAAGACAUUACUGUAUAUUUGCAAUGUUCACAGUAGCCUUCAACAAGUGGAUGACUCUUAUAGGCAGAACACACUCUACUAAGUAGUUGUAGGAAAUUACAGUGAAAAUAGAAGAUCUGUUCCUGCCCUCAAGGGGAGCUUACAUUUAAUAAAAAGAGAUAACCCCAGAUAUGCACAUAAAUCAAAAUACCAUGCCCCUUAAUAUUUAAUUAGCAACGUUGACAUGUAAUUCUUAUGGUUUGGUUUAUACAUUCACUGGGCCGCUUGCUUUCCUUAUACAUAAAUGAAUUUUGCUGGUAGAACUGACAUCAGCUAUAUGGGGAUUUUAUCAGUUGCUCCCAGUACAGUGUUCUCCAGGACAUAGCCUGAGAUUUCCUUUAUAUAUAUGACUGGGCUUCUUAUCACUUCACUGGUUCUGGCCCUUUUGUCCUCUCUUCUUGCCUCAGGGUCAGUGAUGCCCACUCGUGUCCAUUACCCUUUGGAAUAAUUUUGGUUCAUAUUUUCCUUUCUUUAUAAAGGGGAAAAAGCCUUGCAUACGCAUAAGGGCCCUAGACUAUGGGAUCUCUAAGGAGAACUGUGAAGCUCUUUGGGGGCAAAAUUUAAACUUUUUGGUCCCCAAAUGACUGCAUUCCUCUUUGAGUUUGUUAGAUACUGUUUAAUGCCUAUUGAGGAUGCAGUGGGGACAGACAUCCCUCAGCCUAUAGGAACACCAAAACCAGGGGAGAUAAUUGAAAGAAUGAAUUGAAGAUUUUCUGCUCUUGAUAUUAUAGGUCAGUUUUAGAGUUAGCUUUCUAAUGAGAUGUAUGUUUGGGAAAAGGGAUUCAAAAGUUCAGGACAGACGAGCUCACAAUAAAGUAGCUUGGCGGCAAGGCUGAUACUGUGAGGCUGAAACAAUCCUUGUGAUGAAGUAGAUCAUGCAGUGAGAUGCAAAAACCAAGGACUUGUAUAUUUUUAUAUCUGUGUGGUUUUGAAACUUUAGUACUUAGAAUUUUGGCCAUCUGAACUAUGUUUUCUCUUAUAAACAUAAUUUACUCUUAAGAAUGGAAAGAGACAACAUUUACGUAUGUGUUCACUGCUUCAUUCCUGGUGGAGCAACUGCUAGUUGUUCUCUGUGCCUCUAAAAUGAUGCUGUUUUCUCUACCAAAGGCAAAAGAAGAGAAAAAUUAGUUGGAGAAUAAGACUUUUGCAGCUUGAUGUACUUUUGAGUAAAUAUAUGUAGCAGAAACUGUUCAAUGAAGGAAGAAUUCUAUGAAAGUUGCAAAUCUUAAACUCUGGUAAUAUCUUCUUAGGAGGUGGAGAAAGACAGUGAAAUCACCAUCAGACAGAGAGGCUUGAAGGAGUCAAGUACAAGUAACGUAUUAUACAAAACAUAGCAGCUUAGGUCCCCAUACUCUUCAAGAAUUGUCACAAAUAUCAUAAAGCAAAGGUCAUUGUUCUAGGGUUUUUUUAAAAAAAUGUAUUCCUAAGGCCAUACUUACUCUUCUAUGCUAUCACUGCAAGGGAGUGAUAUGUAUUAUAUGAAAAAAAAAAAACCUUAAUGCACUGUUAUCUCCUAAAUAUUUAGUAAAUUAAUACUAUUUAAUUUUUUUAAAGAUUUGUCUGUGUAGACACUAAAAGUAUUACACAAAAUCUGGACUGAAGAUGUCCUUUUUAACAACAAUGGAAAGUACUUUUUAUAUAUGUUAUGUAGUAUAUCCUUUCUAAACUGCCUAGUUUGUAUUUCCAAUAAUUCUUGUUUGUGAAGUGCACCUGUCCAUGUCUCUUUUUUCAGUCAUUUUCUGCACGCAUCCCUCUUUGUAUGAUUAUAGAGACAACUGUAGCUCUCCAUCCCCCGCUGCGAUUUUGUGUGCUCUGCGCUGGCCACGCCUUAGCAAGGCCCGCUCCCUCCAUAGGUACAGGAUAAGCUGCCACUUUGGAGUCGAGUGUUUCCCACUUUUAAGUUGUCCUGACAUUCUUCUUGAAAUGACUGUUAAAACUAAAUUAAAUUACGUUGCAUUUAUUUUAUACUCUUGGUUGAAAUAAAAUUUAAUUGACUUUGUUUCUGUGUGGAUCUUUUAAGUGCACAACAACUACUCUUGUGCUAAGUUUUAAAUGUUAAAAUGUCAUCUGCAUGCCUGGAAGCUUUUAUGGUUACACUUGUCCUGCCUCCCUGUGAAUUAAAAUGUUAUUCUGUUCAGGAUGAUUAUGAUAUCACAAAACCACAGAAGCAAGCAAGACUUACAAAUAGCUCACAAGUGAAAUUAUGGUUCUCUAAAUGCCUCUAAGAGAAACAUCUUUUUUUAUUAUUAUUUUUAAUGAAAAUUACCAUGAUGUCUUAGAAAAAACAAGCAUCAUUUUGUAGAUGGG